rnacentral:rRNA from 1 species
AAGGUUUCCGUAGGUGAACCUGCGGAAGGAUCAUUACUGAAGAAACAAGGGUUUUGAGACUGCGUCCUUCAAUUGGGCGUGUGCUCGACUCUUACUCUUUCAUAUCCCAUACACACCUUUGUGCACCAAGGGGACCCUUGUGUCCCCCUUUUUUUCAUAAAUACCGAGUUAUAUGCAUGUAUAGUUUGUAUACUCUACGGAGUUAUUAUAAAUACAACUUUCAACAACGGAUCUCUUGGCUUUCGCAUCGAUGAAGAACGCAGCGAACGUGCGAAACGUAAUGUGAAUUGCAGAAUUCAGUGAAUCAUCGAAUCUUUGAACGCAUCUUGCGCUCCUUGGUAUUCCGAGGAGCAUGCCUGUUUGAGUGUCGUGAAUAACUCUCAAUUUCAAAUAUUUUAGAAUAUCUGACAUUGGACUUGGGCGUUGUCGUGUUUCUACGACUCGUCCUAAAUGCAUUAGCGAUCUGCCCUGAUCACACACAAUGUGAUAAGUAAAAAAUAAAGCAUUGUUAUGGUUGGGUUUGAAAGAUGGCUUCUAAUCGUCGUAAUGACAAAUAAAAGACCAUGUCGUUUGACCUCAAAUCAGGCAGGACUACCCGCUGAACUUAAGCA